rnacentral:rRNA from 1 species
UACGGAGGCUCCAAGCGUUAUCCGGAAUCAUUGGGUUUAAAGGGUCCGUAGGCGGCCCUGUAAGUCAGCGGUGAAAUCUCCCGGCUCAACCGGGAAAUGGCCAUUGAUACUGCAGGGCUUGAAUUAUUAGGAAGUAACUAGAAUAUGUAGUGUAGCGGUGAAAUGCUUAGAUAUUACAUGGAAUACCGAUUGCGAAGGCAGGUUACUACUAAUGGAUUGACGCUGAUGGACGAAAGCGUGGGUAGCGAACAGG